AAUGGCUUUGAUAUCCGAGAAGGACAAGUCGUAUGAUAAGAAUUCGGAAAUGAAGAAAUUGAUUAAUGAAUCUGAGAAAAUUCAUGAAAAGUUGGUUUCUUGUCAGAAGCAUUAUGGAGAAAAAGAAUAGAGGCACAGCAAAAAACAUCAUUCGAAAAGAAUUUAAAUGAUUGUGAAAAGAAACGUGCAGACAUAGAAAAUAACCUCCGAAGAAAGACAGUGAAGUUGAGUAAGGCACAACUUGAGCUGGAUAAUUGCACUUCUAUUAAAGAUGAAUUACUUACUCAACUCAAUAUUAACAAUAAUCCUCCAAGCUCUUGUUUAAACCUGUCUGCAGGCAUUCAUGAGAUACAACUUACAAAUGAUAAACAUUUUAAUCUGCUUUGUGAUAGAGAUGGUUGGAUGAUCAUUCAGAAACGAUUUGAUGGUAGUCAAGAUUUUAAUAAUAACUGGAACGAAUACGUAAAUGGAUUUGGCCACUUGCGUGAAGAGUUUUUCAUUGGAUUGGAAAAACUUCAUCUUAUUACGAGUUCAACUCGUUACCAGUUAUUAAUUUCGAUAAAACAUCCGUGGGGCUCAUUUAGCGCACAAUACGACAAUUUUAGGAUUGGAAAUUCGACAUCAUUCUACAAUUUAGUGUCGAUUGGAAGAUAUAAUGGCAACUUGAAUGUGUUUCAAUGGAAUGUAAAUCAACCAUUUUCCACAUACGAUCAAAAUCACUAUUUAAAUGCUCAGAAUUGUGCGGAAGUUUUUAAGGGCGGCUGGUGGUAUCAGCCAAGCUGUAGCGAUGAUAAUCUAAAUGGUUCCCUUUAUGGAGCGAAUAGCACACCUUCCGGUACCACACUCAUGAAGAUUCGUCCAUACACUGAUCUAUAUUAAAAGGUUCUACAUAUGUGCUAUAAUUAUAAUUAUAAGUCAAUACGAUAUUGAUUUAUUAUUCAUUUGAUGCUUUCUUAAGAAUUGGAUAUUGAUACCAUACUUUUCAUAAUCAAUUUUAUUAAAUACA